GACGAACGCUGGCGGCGUGCUUAAUACAUGCAAGUGGAGCGACGAACCAGGCUUCGGCCUGGGGCAGAGCCGCGAACGGGUGAGUAACACGUGGGUAACCUGCCUCGAUGACCGGGACAACCCGGGGAAACCCGGGCUAAUACCGGAUGUGCUGUCCCCACAUCAGUGGAGACAGGAAAGGAGCUUCGGCCUCCGCAUCGAGAUGGGCCCNCGGCCCAUUAGCUUGUUGGUGUGGUAACGGCUCACCAAGGCUGCGAUGGGUAGCUGGUCUGAGAGGACGAUCAGCCACACUGGGACU
rnacentral:rRNA from 1 species